rnacentral:rRNA from 1 species
UACGGAGGGGGCUAGCGUUGCUCGGAAUCACUGGGCGUAAAGCGCACGUAGGCGGGUCGUUAAGUCGGGGGUGAAAUCCUGGAGCUCAACUCCAGAACUGCCUUCGAUACUGGCGACCUUGAGUCCGGGAGAGGUGAGUGGAACUCCGAGUGUAGAGGUGAAAUUCGUAGAUAUUCGGAAGAACACCAGUGGCGAAGGCGGCUCACUGGCCCGGUACUGACGCUGAGGUGCGAAAGCGUGGGGAGCAAACAGG